rnacentral:lncRNA from 1 species
GAGGCCACCACCCUGUCCAUAUCGACGGCGAGGAACACGGUAUGGUGCCCCACGGUGACAAAGGUCACCAUUCCUAUUCGGGCGACGCUGAUAGCGGCGGCCAGACCGAAGGUCCAACGAGGAAAGCGGAAACCACGGUGCUCCCUGGCCACGAACCUGGCAAAAGCAAAAGCAAGGUCCGACAGAGAAUCCAUCUCUUCUCACCUCUCUUCUCUUCUGUAGCCUACUCUGCUUUAGGGUGAUGCAUGCAUGAUAACGUGAAGAGAGUAGAGAGG